GACGAAGGGGGCUAGCGUUGUUCGGAAUUACUGGGCGUAAAGCGCGUGUAGGCGGUUGUCCAAGUUGGAUGUGAAAGCCUUGAGCUCAACUCAAGAAAUGCAUUCAGGACUGGAUGACUAGAGGACCGGAGAGGAUAGUGGAAUUCCCAGUGUAGUGGUGAAAUACGUAGAGAUUGGGAAGAACACCAGUGGCGAGGGCGGCUAUCUGGACGGUUUCUGACGCUAAGACGCGAAAGCGUGGGGAGCAAACAGG
rnacentral:rRNA from 1 species